rnacentral:rRNA from 1 species
CCCCAGGCGGUCAACUUCACGCGUUAGCUACGUUACUAAGGAAAUGAAUCCCCAACAACUAGUUGACAUCGUUUAGGGCGUGGACUACCAGGGUAUCUAAUCCUGUUUGCUCCCCACGCUUUCGUGCAUGAGCGUCAGUGUUAUCCCAGGGGGCUGCCUUCGCCAUCGGUAUUCCUCCACAUCUCUACGCAUUUCACUGCUACACGUGGAAUUCUACCCCCCUCUGACACACUCUAGCCGUGCAGUCACCAAUGCAAUUCCCAGGUUAAGCCCGGGGAUUUCACAUCGGUCUUGCACAACCGCCUGCGCACGCUUUACGCCCAGUAAUUCCGAUUAACGCUUGGACCCUACGUAUUACCGCGGCUGCUGGCACGUAGUUAGCCGGUCCUUAUUCUUCCGGUACCGUCAUCCACACCUAAUAUUAGUAAGUGCGAUUUCUUUCCGGACAAAAGUGCUUUACAACCCGAAGGCCUUCUUCACACACGCGGCAUUGCUGGAUCAGGGUUGCCCCCAUUGUCCAAAAUUCCCCACUGCUGCCU